UACCAGCUCUCCGAGUGGUGGGGAUGCUUAUUGGGCCUAAAGCAUUCGUAGCCGGCUGGGCAAGUCCUCCGUUAAAUCCAGCGAUUCAAUCGUUGGACUGCAGGGGAUACUGUCCGGCUAGGGGGCGGAAGAGGCCGACGGUAUUCUCGGGGUAGGGUGAAAUCCUAUAAUCCCGGGAGGACCACCAGUGGCGAAGGCUGUCGGCUAGAACGCGCCCGACGGUGAGGGAUGAAAGCUGGGGGAGCGAACCGGAUUAGAUACCCGGGUAGUCCCAGCUGUAAACUAUGCAGGCUAGGUGUUGGCGCGGCUACGUGCCGCUCCAGUGCCGCAAGGAAGCCGUUAAGCCUGCCGCCUGGGAAGUACGGCCGCAAGGCUGAAACUUAAAGGAAUUGGCGGGGGAGCACCACAAGGGGUGAAGCUUGCGGUUU
rnacentral:rRNA from 1 species